rnacentral:rRNA from 1 species
UCCUACGGGUGGCAGCAGUGGGGAAUUUUGCGCAAUGGGCGAAAGCCUGACGCAGCAACGCCGCGUGCGGGAAGAAGGCCCUCGGGUUGUAAACCGCUUUCGGCAGGAACGAAAUUGACGGUACCUGCAGAAGAAGCCCCGGCCAACUACGUGCCAGCAGCCGCGGUAAUACGUAGGGGGCGAGCGUUGUCCGGAUUCAUUGGGCGUAAAGAGCUCGUAGGCGGUUCGGUAAGUCAGAUGUGAAAACUCCAGGCUCAACUUGGAGACGCCAUCUGAUACUGUCGUGACUAGAGUCCGGUAGGGGAGCACGGAAUUCCUGGUGUAGCGGUGAAAUGCGCAGAUAUCAGGAGGAACACCAGCGGCGAAGGCGGUGCUCUGGGCCGGAACUGACGCUGAGGAGCGAAAGCGUGGGUAGCGAACAGGAUUAGAUACCCUAGUAGUCG